AAUGAACGCUGGCGGCGUGCCUAAUACAUGCAAGUCGAGCGAACGGACGAGAAGUUUUGGUGUCCGAUGGUAGCGGCGGACGGAUGAGUAACACGUGGAUAACCUACCUAUAAGACUGGGAUAACUUCGGGAAACCGGAGCUAAUACCGGAUAAUAUUUUGAACCUCAUGGUUCAAGAGUGAAAGACGGUCUUGCUGUCACUUAUAGAUGACUACGCGCUGCAUGAGCUAGUUGGUAAGGUAACGGCUUACCAAGGCAAGGAUGCAUAGCCGACCUGAGAGGGUGAUCGCCUACCCGGGAACUGAGACUGAGUCCACACUCCUGCGGGAGGCAGCAGUAGAGAAUCUUACGCAAUGGAGGAGAGCCUGACGGAGCAACGCCGCGGGAGUGAUGAAGGUCUUAGGAUCGUAAAGCUCUGUUAUUCGGGAAGAACUAAUGUGUAAGUACCUGUGCACAUAUUGACGGUACCGGAUCAGAAAGCCCCGGCUAACUACGUG
rnacentral:rRNA from 1 species